CCAUCCGAUUAUGGACCCUUUGGUGCUUCAGUGCCAUCAAAUGCUUAAAAGGAUUUAGCCUAGAGGUUGAUUCCGUGUUCUCUACAAUAGCGGUGAUGAUUAUUGUUGGUUUUGGAGCAGAUUAAGUGCCUUGAAGAGGCCAGCUAUCUUCUAAGUUGUUUUUUUGCAAUGAUGAUGCAUGCAAUGCCCCUGGUAGGCUUACUGCCUCUCAUAUUGCACCACCCUCUUUACCGCGUUGCCUGCAUAAGUUGCAGGCAACAAGGUCAAAGCGUGACUUCUAGUUGAAGGGGUGUUUACCUCAAAUAUCAACAGAAGCCAUCCAUCGAACGUGAUCAAUCAUCCUCACCAUCAUCCUUCAUCUAACAUACGCGGUCGAUCCCCUCUCUAUUCCAUAUUAUCAUCCUAUCAACUGCCAAGAGCCUACCCUACCCUCUAUCUAUGAAGUUUGCCGCAAAUCCUUCGAAAAGAAUAGACUAAGCUACAUGUGGAUGGGGAAGGAACAAUGGUUUUCCGAGGUUUUAGGCUUAAAAAGCAGGAUAUUGUAGAAUGUUUUCAGUGAGGAUAGGGACAAGAUAGAUGAACAUGAUGAUGAUAGUUGAAAGUAGUUAGGGGAUAAAGGAAUAAUUUCAAUGAAGGAAUGGGAGUGGGCAUGGGGUUUGAUGGGAUAACUAAGAUUUGUAUAUAAUGUCUAGGCUAGCUAAAUAUAUGGC
rnacentral:sRNA from 2 species